AAGCUUCGAUUUAAAAAUUUCAAUCCACUAAAUUGUAUUCAACCUGAAUACACUCGUCGGAACCUCCGACUCUAGCUAUUUUAAGCUAGAACACUUAUUUUUCGGGUACAAGCCAACCCAAUACAAUCCGAUUCAAGGUUCCGAUCAAUCUUCUCACAUUUUGGAAUCCUUCCAAAAUAAAAAAAUAAUGACUCAAAAAGAGUAUUAUAGUUAACAGCAC
rnacentral:lncRNA from 1 species